rnacentral:rRNA from 1 species
UACGGAGGGUGCAAGCGUUAUCCGGAUUCACUGGGUUUAAAGGGAGCGUAGGUGGGUUGGUAAGUCAGUGGUGAAAUCCCCGAGCUUAACUUGGGAGCUGCCAUUGAUACUAUCAGUCUUGAAUAUUGUGGAGGUCAGCGGAAUAUGUCAUGUAGCGGUGAAAUGCUUAGAGAUGACAUAGAACACCAAUUGCGAAGGCGGGUCUCUGGGCCGAUACUGACGCUGAGGAGCGAAAGCGUGGGGAGCAAACAGG